AUUGAACGCUGGCGGCAGGCCUAACACAUGCAAGUCGAGCGGAUGACGGGAGCUUGCUCCUUGAUUCAGCGGCGGACGGGUGAGUAAUGCCUAGGAAUCUGCCUGGUAGUGGGGGACAACGUUUCGAAAGGAACGCUAAUACCGCAUACGUCCUACGGGAGAAAGCAGGGGACCUUCGGGCCUUGCGCUAUCAGAUGAGCCUAGGUCGGAUUAGCUUGUUGGUGAGGUAAUGGCUCACCAAGGCGACGAUCCGUAACUGGUCUGAGAGGAUGAUCAGUCACACUGGAACUGAGACACGGUCCAGACUCCUACGGGAGGCAGCAGUGGGGAAUAUUGGAAAAUGGGCGAAAGCCUGAUCCAGCCAUGCCGGGUGUGUGAAGAAGGUCUUCGGAUUGUAAAGCACUUUAAGUUGGGAGGAAGGGUUGUAGAUUAAUACUCUGCAAUUUCGACGUUACCGACAGAAUAAGCACCGGCUAACUCUGUGCCAGCCGCCGCAGUAAUAC
rnacentral:rRNA from 1 species